rnacentral:rRNA from 1 species
UACGUAGGGACCAAGCGUUGUUCGGCUUUACUGGGCGUAAAGGGCGCGUAGGCGGCAUGACAAGUCACUUGUGAAAUCUCCGGGCUUAACUCGGAACGGUCAAGUGAUACUGUCGCGCUAGAGUGCGGAAGGGGCAAUCAGAAUUCUUGGUGUAGCGGUGAAAUGCGUAGAUAUCAAGAGGAAUACCUGAGGUGAAGACGGGUUGCUAGGCCGACACUGACGCUGAAGCGCGAAAGCCAGGGGAGCAAACGGG